rnacentral:rRNA from 1 species
AACGAACGCUGGCGGCAUGCCUAACACAUGCAAGUCGAACGAUGCCUUCGGGCAUAGUGGCGCACGGGUGCGUAACGCGUGGGAAUCUGCCUUUCGGUUCGGAAUAACUCAGGGAAACUUGAGCUAAUACCGGAUAACGUCGCAAGACCAAAGAUUUAUCACCGAAAGAUGAGCCCGCGUAGGAUUAGCUAGUUGGUGAGGUAAAGGCUCACCAAGGCGACGAUCCUUAGCUGGUCUGAGAGGAUGAUCAGCCACACUGGGACUGAGACACGGCCCAGACUCCUACGGGAGGCAGCAGUGGGGAAUAUUGGACAAUGGGCGAAAGCCUGAUCCAGCGAUGCCGCGUGAGUGAUGAAGGCCUUAGGGUUGUAAAGCUCUUUUACCCGGGAAGAUAAUGACGGUACCGGGAGAAUAAGCCCCGGCUAACUCCGUG